CAGCCGCGCCCCCAGCCGUAUUUCCGCGGGCGCUGAGCACUAGAGAGAGCGUCUUGUGGCUGCGGCCUGCCCCUCAGCCUCCUCCGCGCGGUUACCCCUGUACCCGCCGCCAUCCGUCCUGGCGCUCCGGAUGAGUCAAUGAGGGGCAGGGCCCGAGGAGUGGUCUUCCCAAGAACCCCUGGUGGCCUCCCAAGGCCGGUGCUGUGUACCUCCUCCCCGACAAAAGGGGAAACUGAGGCCCCGAGGGGAGUGGGAAGAGCCGGCUGGACGUCAGGCCCAGCCGCUGGUGCAGUGGCCUCGUGGGCUGUGCGGCUAUCCUGGAGACAGAUGACAGCUCUCCCUUGGAUGGCUUUGCUGGUUCCGCACCAGCCAGCGCCCCCAUUUUUCCUGCAGCACCCUGAUCUGCACUCCCUGAGGGGCUCCCACUGUCCGCGGUGUGAGGAUGUCCCUGGAUAGUCCACUGUGUGCAGAGGCAUGGGAGUUGUCAUGUUGGGAACAUGCUAGACCUCAGUAUCCUUGAGCUUGAAGAAAGACGACAGAACACUGGAGACCAAGUACUUACAGCCUUCUGCUCUGUGGCCCCUCCUCACUCCAGGGAUGCUGCCUUGGGUCUGGAAACUGUUAGAGGAAACCCCAAGAGGUGCAGGCACUGAGCCUCUCAGGACAAUGACCUGGGGUCCCAGCUCCCCUGGAGGGGCCUCCUCAUGAUUGUUUGGGGGUUGAUCACAGACCAAGAGUGACGAGUGAUGUCACCCUGUGACUCAUGGCUGGACCUUCUUGCCCCUAUUGUCUCAGCACAACAUUAUUCGACUUUUCCCUCAGCGUGGGUGGGCAGAGGAAAAGCCCUGUGGCUCUGGGGACUUGGGAUCCAGAGUUGAAGACCCUUCAGCUGGCUCUGCCCUGCCAGUGCCACAGAGUGCCAUGGCCCAGGAAGACAGGUUUUCUUCCAUCUAGGCCAGGCCAUCCAGUGGCCAUCCUCCGUGUCCUCCCGCCUCCUCCUGGUGUGACUUCUGAAAACCAAGAAUUUGUUCCUGUUGACUUUUUCUGUGCUAUGGACCAUUGUCCUCUCACCCACUCAAUAAAUCUUGAAACAUG
rnacentral:lncRNA from 1 species